UGGGGAAUAUUGCACAAUGGGCGCAAGCCUGAUGCAGCCAUGCCGCGUGUGUGAAGAAGGCCUUCGGGUUGUAAAGCACUUUCAGCGAGGAGGAAGGGUAGUGUGUUAAUAGCACAUUGCAUUGACGUUACUCGCAGAAGAAGCACCGGCUAACUCCGUGCCAGCAGCCGCGGUAAUACGGAGGGUGCAAGCGUUAAUCGGAAUUACUGGGCGUAAAGCGCACGCAGGCGGUUUGUUAAGUCAGAUGUGAAAUCCCCGCGC
rnacentral:rRNA from 1 species